rnacentral:lncRNA from 1 species
UUCCAUCUCCAUCAGACAGAUGAGAACGAUGUGAGAAUGAAUCCUUUGCUAAUUCACCUCCAGAAAUGGCUAAUAAUUAUCUCUGUUUUUGGAAAAAGAUUCUUCAUUUCUUUCAGCAGACAUCCUUCUAAGGCAGGCAAUGAGUAGGAUGAGCAGAGCUGGGAAAGCUUGAAGGCAACUGCAGGGAUUGGAGAAGAGAUGACCAUGCUCUUUCCGUAUCCUAAGCUGACACCCUUGAAGAGUUGAUGAUGGUGUAAAGUUUGAAGAUGGAGCAAAUAUAUCUGUGGACUCUUUUGCACAUUACU